rnacentral:rRNA from 1 species
GACGAACGCUGGCGGCGUGCUUAACACAUGCAAGUCGAGCGGUAAGGCCCUUUCGGGGUACGACGAGCGGCGAACGGGUGAGUAACACGUGGGUGACCUGCCCUCAGCUCUGGGAUAAGCCUGGGAAACCGGGUCGUAAUACCGGAUAUGACUCCAUGACGCAUGUUGUGGGGUGGAAAGCCUUGUGCGGCUGAGGAUGGGCCCGCGGCCUAUCAGCUUGUUGGUGGGGUGAUGGCCUACCAAGGCGACGACGGGUAGCCAGCCUGAGAGGGCGACCGGCCACACUGGGACUGAGACACGGCCCAGACUCCUACGGGAGGCAGCAGUGGGGAAUCUUGCGCAAUGGGCGAAAGCCUGACGCAGCGACGCCGCGUGGAGGAUGAAGGUCUUCGGAUUGUAAACUCCUGUUGCCGGGACGAAUGGCUCCGACCUAACACGUCGGAGUGUGACGGUACCGGGUGAGGAAGCCCCGGC